rnacentral:rRNA from 1 species
UACGUAGGUGGCAAGCGUUGUCCGGAAUUAUUGGGCGUAAAGCGCGCGCAGGUGGUUUCUUAAGUCUGAUGUGAAAGCCCACGGCUCAACCGUGGAGGGUCAUUGGAAACUGGGGAACUUGAGUGCAGGAGAGAAGAGUGGAAUUCCACGUGUAGCGGUGAAAUGCGUAGAGAUGUGGAGGAACACCAGUGGCGAAGGCGACUCUUUGGCCUGUAACUGACACUGAGGCGCGAAAGCGUGGGGGGCGAACAGG